AUUGAACGCUGGCGGCAGGCCUAACACAUGCAAGUCGAACGAGUGGCGGACGGGUGAGUAAUGUCUGGGAAACUGCCUGAUGGAGGGGGAUAACUACUGGAAACGGUAGCUAAUACCGCAUACCAUCAGAUGUGCCCAGAUGGGAUUAGCUUGUUGGUGGGGUAACGGCUCACCAAGGCGACGAUCCCUAGCUGGUCUGAGAGGAUGACCAGCCACACUGGAACGGGGACACGGUCCAGACGCAGACGGGAGGUAGCAGAGGGGAAUAGUGCACAAUGGGCGCAAGCCUGAUGCAGCCAUGCCGCGUGUAUGAAGAAGGCCUUCGGGUUGUAAAGUACUUUCAGCGGGGAGGCGUUAGCCGUAGAAGAAGAACCGGCUAACUCCGUGCCAGCAGCCGCGGUAAUAC
rnacentral:rRNA from 1 species